GGGAGGCUGAAGGGGCCCCUAUGAGGUUCAGACUGGGUGGACAGUUGGGCACCUGGCUAUCCAGGCCAAGGGCAGGUUUGCAGAGAGAGCAGAGGCCUGGAGCUGCUCUGAGCCUGGUUGUGGGGAGAGGUGCAGCCUCCUUCUCAGCCCCACUAUGAAUCAGGGACUCUGGUGAGCAUGUCCAUGGCCUUGCAGCCACAGUAGGAGGGGUGAGGGAUGGCAAGGAGGGGCAGCUUUGAGUGAUUCCAGGAGGGGAGAACAGGGGCAGGAAGAUGGUGGAGACAGGAUGGGGCCUGGAAACACCAGCUUCCUCUCUCCAGGGCUGGGCCACAGGAAAUCCAACCCUCAUGCUUCCCAAGGUGCUUCCUGCAGAUAAGUGGGCUUCCGACCGCCCUUUCCUGCUCCCCCCUUUCCCUACCCCUCCCAUCCUGCUCCAGCCCCAGGGGACCCUGAGCUCUCCCACUCAGUCCAGGCCAGUGGCCUUGGGAAGAGCCUGGGGCAGGGUGGUGGUGGGGAGGUCUGGGCAUCCUGGGGCCACACUUCUAGGCAGGGACGGUCCGCCCAGGCUCGGGGAGAAAGCAGACCAGACCACAGACAACGCUGGAGAUUCGGCUCUUCGGGGUGACUGGGAGGGGGUGACAGACGCUGCAUCUAGGUGGACCAGAGGACCCGAAGAGGGGGGAGAUGGAGAUGCGGGCUUCAGAGUCCGGAGCGAACUCCCCAAACUCGGCUAGGGGACCCCCUCCUCGCCGCUUCUUCCCCGGUGGUCCACGGAUGCUCUUCCGCAGCCAAAGGGCGGUGCGGCCCUCGCUGCUCAGCCACUACCCCCACACCGAGGCCUAGGACUCCCCACACCCCCGGCGCAGCCCCUAAGGGCCCCCACCCUGCUGCGCGGCCCUCACCCUUCGAACGAAACCCUUCCUCACCCCAGGACCCCACAGAGAUUCCCCCGCCCUCGGCUGGCCCUGAGCCCUCUCGGCCCCGCCUCCAGCGCAGCCCCCUUGCCACCCCCGCGCUUCUCUCCCGGCUCAGGCCCCCUCCCCCGCCGCCCCGCCCCGGGAAGGCAGGCGCCGAGCUGAGCCGGGGCCGAUGCAGCUGAGCCGCGCCGCCGCGCCGCCGCCGCCGCCGCCGCCUCUGCGGAGCCCUCGGCGCCGCUGUCCUCCGCGCCGGCCCCGGCCCGGCCCCCCCGGCCCAUCCCGCACAGCGCGGCCGACGGUCCCGGCGGGGCAGGGGGCCGGGGGCCGCGCGGAGUCCCGGUGCGCCCCGCUCCUGGCCGCUCCGCCCCGGCCCCGGCGCGGAUGACGCCCCGGGCCAUGCCGUGGUCGUGCGCGUCGGCAUCCCGGACCUGCAGCAGACGGUGAGCCUCGCCGCUCGGGUCCCGACAGCAUCCCCCGCCCUCCUCGCCCAACCCCCCACCGGCGCGCUCUGAGCUGGGAGCGGGAGACCCCAGGCCCGCGG
rnacentral:lncRNA from 1 species